GAUGAACGCUGGCGGCGUGCCUAACACAUGCAAGUCGAACGGAGUUAUUAUUAUGAAGUUUUCGGAUGGAUUAAUAAUAACUUAGUGGCGGACGGGUGAGUAACGCGUGGGUAACCUGCCUCAUACAGGGGGAUAACAGUUGGAAACGGCUGCUAAAACCGCAUAACAUUGCGAUGUCGCAUGACAAUGCAAUUAAAUAUUUAUAGGUAUGAGAUGGGCCCGCGUCUGAUUAGCUAGUUGGUGGGGUAAUGGCCUACCAAGGCGACGAUCAGUAGCCGGCUUGAGAGAGUGACCGGCCACAUUGGGACUGAGACACGGCCCAAACUCCUACGGGAGGCAGCAGUGGGGAAUAUUGCACAAUGGGGGAAACCCUGAUGCAGCGACGCCGCGUGAGUGAAGAAGUAUUUCGGUAUGUAAAGCUCUAUCAGCAGGGAAGAAAAUGACGGUACCUGACUAAGAAGCCCCGGCUAACUACGUGCCAGCAGCCGCCGUAA
rnacentral:rRNA from 1 species